GGUUCCAUAACGUAAUGGUUAGCACUCUGGACUCUGAAUCAGGCAAUCUGAGUUCAAAUCUCAGUGGAAUCC
rnacentral:tRNA from 1 species